GAUGAACGCUAGCGGCAGGCCUAACACAUGCAAGUCGAGGGGUAACUAGAGUGAUAGCAAUAUUACUUUGGCUAGACCGGCGCACGGGUGCGUAACACGUAUGCAACCUACCUUAUACUGGGGAAUAACUUCGAGAAAUCGGCGCUAAUACCCCAUAACACUGCGGAGAGGCAUCUCUUUGCAGUUAAAGCUACGGCGGUAUAAGAUGGGCAUGCGUCCAAUUAGCUAGUUGGUGAGGGAACGGCUCACCAAGGCUACGAUCGGUAUGGGUUCUGAGAGGAUGAGCCCCCACACUGGUACUGAGACACAGACCAGACUCCGACGGGAGGCAGCAGUGAGGAAUAUUGCGCAAUGGACGAAAGUCUGACGCAGCCAUGCCGCGUGCAGGAUGACGGCCCUAUGGGUUGUAAACUGCUUUUGUACGGGAAUAAACCCUUCUACGUGUAGGAGGCUGAAUGUACCGUAAGAAUAAGCACCGGCUAACUCCGUGCCAGCAGCCGCAGUAA
rnacentral:rRNA from 1 species